ACUUUGCCUGUGUGGCCUCCAGUGGUCAGACAGAACCCAAAGGAAAAGAGCCAGGGUGCGGAUUGGCAGAAGCUAUUCUGGCCCAUGUGCAGAGCAUCAAGAAUGUGUGCUGCAAAAGAGUCUCUCUCUGUCACCCAGGCUGGAGUGCAGUGGCGCCAUCUCGGCUCACUGCAAGCUCCGCCUCCCGGGUUCAUGCCAUUCUCCUGCCUCAGCCUCCCGAGUAGCUGGGACUACAGGCGUCCGCCACCACGCCCAGAUCCCUAUCACGUCCUCGACUUUCCUGCAAGAGGCAGAUUAUUACAGUCCCCUGGGAGCCACUCAGGGGGAGUCUCAGGGCACAGAGGUUAUUUGAUUCAAUUACAAGAAAUCUGAUGAGUAUCUACAAGGAACUCAGAGCUGUGGGAGAAGAGAAAAAAGUGCAUGAAGUAAAGAAAAAGCAGGGAAUGAGAGAAAAAAAUGGAGGAGUGAGUGCCACAGCCCAGUCAGUAAGUGCUACGUAAAGUCUCACUCUGUCGCCAGGCUGGAGUGCAGUCAGCUCACUGCAACCUCCACCUCCCGGGUUCAAGAGAUUCUCCUGCCUCAGACUCCUGAGUAGCUGGGACUACAGAAAUUAUUACAGGAACUUUUUCUGGACAGACAAGAACCUAAGUCUGAACAUCUAAAAGGCUCACAAAGAAUCAAGCAAAUUUAUUGAAAGAGACCAAUACUUAUUAGACCUAUCUUCGUGAACUGAAGAUCGAGAAAAAAAUUCCAAGAGGCAUUUGGACAGAAAAGCAUGUUGACUCCACAGGAACAAAAAUCAAACUGCAUUCAAAAUUCUCCUCUGCAAUGUCUAAUAGCAGGAGAAAUAAAAUAGUACCAACAGAGCUUCAAGGGAAAAAGACUGCAUUCUAAGAAUCCUAUAUUUAGGAAGUUGUUCAAGUGAAAGGGUAAUGGAAGAAAUGUUCUUAGAUGUGCAACUCACUGUUAUAACCUUUUAAACAAAGCCCUCGAAGACCUGAUUUAACUGACAGUGAAUGAAUCUAAAUACAGAGCUGUGGGAUGUGAGAGUCACAUCAGUGACCACUGAAACAAGUAUAAAGAAAAUUAAGUCUAGAUGAUUGUUUUACAUAUAAUUAUAAAACAGAAUAAAAGUGUAAAACGCAACUCUUGGAAGAGGAUAUUUAUAGUAUAAAAAUGGCCUAAUUAUAAUAAUUUGAACCUAAUGUUUUGCCGCACAAAAAUAGAAAUGAAGGAGAUAGAAUGGUAGGAGAAAACACUUAUUUCCUCAUUAUUCCCAAGAGGGAUAUUAUUUAACUCUUGAUAAAGAUAACUGGAAAUACAAACAGGAUGUAUCCUUUCUAAAUUACUAAAAAAAAAAAAAAACAAAAAAAACAAAGAAAAUAAAUUCCAUGUAACAAUCAUACUUUAUGUAACACACUGAAGUUUUUGGUCUUUAAUCUUCUUAUCUCCAGAGAUUGCUGUGACUCCUCGUCCACUCUGUAUCAUAGCAUCACCUCCAGUAUCAUUAAUGCAAGGCACCCCAUUUCUGACCACAGCUUCCUUCUUUUCCUUCUUGGCUUUAUUUUUAUUUCUUUAUUUAUUUUUGAGACGGAGCCUCGCUCUGUUGGCCCAGGUUAGAGUGCAGUGCCAUGAUCUCAGCUCACUGAAACCUCCACCUCUCAGGUUCAAGCAAUUCUCCAGCCUCAGCCUCCUGAAUAGCUAGGAUUACAGGCACCUGCCACCAUGCCUGGCUAAUUUUAGUAUUUUUAGUAGAGACAGGGUUUUGCCACGUUGGCCAGGUUGGUCUUGAACUCCUGACCUCAGAUGACCUGCCUGCCUUAGCCUCCCAAAGUGCUGGGAUUACAGACAUGAGCCACUGAGCCUGGCCACGUUCUUGGCUUUUUAAUUGCAACCAUUGAAAUAGAUCUUGAUUUCACUGUGACCUCUAGCUUCUUUAUCUUCAAUUUGCCCCAUCCUUCAGCCGUCCCCUUUCUUUAGUUUUCUACCUGUCCAGGUUAGAUUUCAGGGUCCAUUGUUUCAGCGAUAGUACUGCCAAAAUCCUAAACUCCCUCGCCCCUUUGGGCUUUUGUCAGACCCCAUCUGGCCGAAGACCAUUCCCAGAGCAACCCACACUGUGUGCUGUCUCUCUUCUUGUAUUUAAGCAGCUGGAGAAAAACACAACAGAGCAGAUUGUACCAUCAUAUAUUCAUGAGCAUCCAUUCUGAAUGGGCACCACAGUGCCAGAAUCCUUCAGAUAUCUCUGGUCAAUCUAUAGUCCAGCAAUCCACAAUGACCAUUCCAGAUCUUCUCUAGCUUCCUUAAAUGCCCAACUUUCCUACCCAUCAACGGAUGCCUUUAUUUCAUAUUUCACAGAGAUAAUAGACACUGUCACAUAAGGCCACUCCCCCCACUCCACACCCCCAAAUCCUGCUACCAAACUCACUAACAUAACAGCAUCUGUACCCAUCUGGUCCUCCUUCCUGCCUAUUCCAUAGAGGAGCUGUUUUUCUUUCUGAAAGAGAUCAAUUCCUCACAUGUGCUUUAGACCCCAUCUCCUUUCUCCUUCGCAGGAAUCUUAUAAUUUAGGUGGUUCUGUAUCUCCUGAAUAUCCAAUCUCUUUUCAACCUCAUCAAUUGCUUCAAAUUGUAAACAUUAAGCAAAUUAUAUUCAGCUUUCAAAAAAAAAGGGAGGAAAUCCUGUCAUUUGGGACAACAUGGAUGAAACUAGAGGACGUUAUGGAAAAUGAAAUAAAGCAGACAUGGAAAGAAAAAUACUACAUGAUCUGACUUACAUGUGGAGUGUGAAAAAGAACUCAGAAGCAGGAAGUAGAAUGGUGGUUACCAGGGGUCUUAAGGGGUUGGAGGGUUGGGAAGAUGUUGGUCAAAGGACACAACAUUUCAGGAGGAAUAAGUUCAAGAGAGCUAUUGUUUCACACGGGAACUAUGGUUAAUAACAAUGUAUUGCAUUCUUGGAAAUUGCCAAGAGAGUAGAUUUUAAGCGUUCUCACAACAAAAAUGAUUAGUAUGUGAGGUAAUGCAUAUGUUACUCAGCUUAAUGUAGCCAUUCCACAGUAUGUACAAGUUUCAAAGCAACAUGUUGUAUAUAAUAAAUACAUAUAACUUUGGCAAUCAAAUCAAAUAAAUAAAAGAAAAUAAAAAUAAAUGGAGAGAUAUUAUAAAAAUUCUACUGCAUUAAUAGUCACUAAUUCCAGUGCUUUGUAUUCCUUUGUGGAAAGGUUUUCCAAUCGUGUGGCACUAUUGACUUUUUUUUUUUUUUUGGUGACGGAGUCUCGCUCUGUCACUCAGGCUGGAGUGCCGUAGCAUGAUCUCAGCUCAUUGCCAUCUCUGCCUCCCCGGGUUCAAGCCAUUCUCCUGUGUCAGCCUCCUGAGUAGCUGGGAUUACAGGCACAUGCCACCAUGCCCAGCUAGUUUUUGUAUUUUUAGUAGAGAUGGGGUUUCACUGUGUUGGUCAGGCUGGUCUCGAAUCCCUGACCUCAUGAUCCACCCGCCUCGGCCUCCCAAAGUGCUGGGAUUACAGGCAUGAGCCACCACACCCGACCAGCACUAUUGACAUUUGAGUCCAUGUAAUUCUCUGCUGUGGAGGCUGUCCUGGGCAAUGUAGGGUGUUAAGCAUCAUCCCUGACUUCUACCCAUUAGAUGUCAGUAGGACCCUCCCCGACCUGUGACAAAACUCCUGAUCUUCUUCUGUUUCCUCUAACCUCCUGAUCUUCUAUCUUCUCCCCUUUCCUCUAAACUCAGUCCACUCUAAAGAUCUUAGAGAAUGACAACAUUAUGCAUACAGUUAAUUGCACAAGACUGAAAUCAGAGAGUCAGCCUUGAUACCACCUUCUUCUUCAUUUUUCAUGUGUGAUUCAUCAUCAAAUCACAUUAUUUUUCACUUACUAAAUAUACCCCAAUCCCAUCCAUCUUAUUCUUUCUUCACUGCCACCUCACUAAUCCAAACUAUCAUAAUUUCUUAUCUGGACCACUGCAAUAAAUUCCUAACUUCAUCCUGCGUCUUUGACUUCCUUCCAACUUGUUUACACUAUAGCUAGUGUACUUUUCAAAAUAUAAAUCUUGCAAACCCCUCACCCCCACCAACUUAUAAUCUAAAUAACCAAUUAACCAACUUAUGUCUUUGUAGGUAUAAUCUCUGCAAUAUACUCCUAUUCAAAAGCUAAGAAAUAGGUAGGAUCCAAACUCAGGUCAAUUUAUGUCUAUAAAGAGACAGUUUUUGAGUACUUGAGUAAGUAUCAAUUCCAAAUGAGAGAGAACACUGAGUUUACAGGAGAGAAAGAGGAGAGAAUCAUAGGUGUGAUAGCAAGUGUUUGCACUGCACACACAUACAAAAAAUCAAGAGCUUCUUUCAAAUUUAUGCAGUUAAAUUUCGUGUUGGUUUGUUAUCCUUGGGAGAUGUCUAUACCUCCUAUUAGUUAUAGGGAUGAAGUAGAUAAGUAGAGGGUUAUGCAGGAGAAAGUUUAACAAAUCUUUGCUUUACAAGUAUGAUGUUCAGUCGCACUGAGACUGUUUUCUAAGUAUCUUGUGGGACACAAAUAGAAAGAUGAAUAGGAUGUUGUCCUGGUUUUCAAAGCUCUACUUGAAUUUUCCUGUCUCAUCAUUUACCUUUCCUGUCUCAUCCUUUGCAUUUCCUGUCUCAUCCUUUGCAUUUCCUGUCUCAUCCUUUGCAUUUCCCUUCUCAUCAUUUGCAUUACCUCUGCCAAUGCUUUCCACCUCCCAAAACUCCAUCAUUUCUUCCUUUUCCACUAACAUUUUGCACAUGGCUAUAUUGUCAUUUUUCCUAACCUAAGGGGAAAUAAAAAAUCCAACAAGACCUUGUUCAAAUCACAUUCCAAAUAAGGAGGAGGAAUGAGUUGUAAGAGUUUUAGAGGAAUUUUAAGCUCCUUUUUUUUUUUUUUUUUUUUUUUUUUUUUGAGAUGGAGUCUUGCUCUGUCACCCAGGUUGGAGUGCAAUGGCACAAUCUCAGCUCGCUGGCAACCUCUGCCUCCCCAUUUCAAGUGAUUCUACUGCCUCAGCCUCCUGAGUAGCUGGGACUACAGGCCUGCACCACCAUGCCUGGCUAAUUUUUCUAUUUUAGUAGAGAUGGGGUUUCACUGUGUUGGCAAGGUUGGUCUCAAAACUCAUGACCUCAAAUGAUCCGCCCACCUCAGCCUCCCAAAGUGCUGGGAUUACAGGUGUAAGCCACCGUGCCUAGCCUUAGGCUCUUUUCAUAAAGAACGGCCAAACACACACACACUAUCUGAAAUCAGAUGCAACACUUUCCAUUUGAAAUCUGUCUCUCUGAAUGGAAACAAUGAAGUGUUGCAAGUUUAUACUCUUGAAGUAAAUGAGGACCAAAAAUGGAUAAGGAAAAUAAAAUGGGAGAACUCUGAAAGAUCAGAGAAGGUGCUAUCAGGUGAUAGAAUCAGAUAAAAGGAUUUCCUAUAAGGCAUUCUGCUGGUAACUCUAUAAAAGGUGGCAUUGUUACUGUUGGGUAAAUAAAAGUUUUUGAUUUGAAGAACCCUCUCCACUCUUUCCUUUAAAAAGGGCAGGUGCCCGGGCGCGGUGGCUCAUGCCUGUAAUCCCAGCUUUUUGGGAGGCCGAGGCAGGAUCAUGAGGUCAGGAGAUCGAGACCAUCCUGGCUAACACGGUGAAGCCCCGUCUCUACUAAAAAUACAAAAAAUUAGCCGGGUGCGGUGGCGGGCGCCUGUAGUCCCAGCUACUGAGGAGGCUGAGGCAGGAGAAUGGCGUGAACCCGGGAGGCGGAGCUUGCAGUGAGCCGAGAUUGUGCCACUGCACUCCAGCCUGGGCGACAGAGCAAAACUCCCGUCUCAAAAAAUAAAAAAUAAAAUAAAAUUAAAAUUAAAAUUAAAAUUAAAAGGGGAGGCAACCAUUACAAUCUGGUAACAAGAAUGCUAACAUUUGAAAGCUUUGAUUCACUUCAAGUAUUGUCAAACACACACACACACAAACACACACAUACACAAAUCAAUCUUUUAACUUUGACUUCACAAAUAAAAAGCCUUCUUAUGCUGGGCUUAGAUCAGGGUGGCCGCCAGCAUGAAUUCAUGUCCUCUGUGAAGAAUGGAAUAUCAAAGUCAGAGAUUUCAGAUUGAAGAGUCCUUAGGGAACACUGGGUUUAGAGGUUUUGAAACUUUUUAAAGCACUGGAACACUUUCUUCAGUUAGAAUCCUACAUAGAAAACCAAUAUUUAAAAGAUGAGAGCAGAAGUGAGACUGAUGAGGUGGAAACAGGAGAAUUGGGUACAACGAACCCCAUUUCUGGUACCUUCCAGCCUCUGAGCAGGUAUCUGAAGCACUGUGUGGAACGCUGGGACUCUUUGGUGCAUUUUUUCACAACUUAGGACUUAGUCUUAUUCUCCUUGCUUACAAAUGAGGAAACUGAAGCACACUGAAUAAAAAUGUCUUGGCCAAGCGCCAUCACCUGUACAAAAACAGAUCCAAGGAUGACAACACCCCCUCGAUAUAGAUGAGUGGCUAAGUGCAUGCUCCCAAUGCUCUGAUUAUGAUGCCUCCUUAACAUUUGGUUGGUGGAGCAAGUUCCUUUUUGGGGACAGGAAGUUGUUGGAAGAUUAUUUAAAGGGUCAUGGAAGGAUCAUGGAAAUGAUGCAAGUGGAUGACAUGAAGGAAUGCAGCUUUGGUACCCUAUGCUGGGACCCAAAAAGAGCAGGCAAGGCAGAAUGUUGGUUGAAAAAAUAACAACAACAGCAUCAAAACCAGAUGUACACAUGCCUGCAUGUCCAAUUUUACAACUAAUGCUGUCGUCCUAUGGAUACCUCCUGGAAUGUAGGAGGAUUCUGUCAAUUAGGAUGUUCCAGGGCUGUGGCCAGUGUUGUAAGCAUGUCUCAUGAGACCCUGGGCUAGAAGCAAAAGCAAUGUCCAGGCUUCAAGUUAACACCACCUAAGUCCCAGACGGCUGCCCACUUCAGCAUUCUCUGUGGUAAUCUCUGGAGAUUGUGGGGUUCAGGCUCUCUUUCCCGUAUGCCACUUCUCCAUCUUUAGGGGCUGAAAUGACCAUGUUUGGCUCCCAGGUAAAUGGAUCAUGAGCUCCUCCUGAGUAUGACUCUCACCUUUCAUCAUUGUCUCCCUUGUGUCUGGCACAUUGAGCUGUAUACAGAGCGGCCCUCGAUAAAAGUCAUACCCAGAGCUUCAGAAGUGGUCUUGUUGGAAUGGAGUUUCCUGGCAGAAACUAAGCUGAGUGGUAGAAUGAAGACACGGUAUUGGGAGGUAGAAAUGGAACUGGCUAAUAAUAUUGACUCCACCACUAACUUAUUGUCAGAUUUUGGGAAGAUGAUGUAUGCUCCUUAGGUUUUAGUUCCUGAACUGUAAAGUGAAGAAGACCAACUGGAUCAUUUCCAGGGUCCUGUCCAGCCUGAGUCCUCAUAUGUGGGCCUCGUUUGCCUAAUGACAAUAGCUACCAGUAUAUUUCUGGAGUGUUCACUCAUGCAAGGUUUAUCUAUUCAUCAUGACACCUUGCAGUGUAGGGGGAUUAUCCCACCAUUCACAUAAGGAAAUCUGGAGGAGAAGAGAGGAAGUGCGUAAGUUUACGUGCUCAGUCAAAAAUAGGAUUGGGAUUUAAAGUCAGAUUUACCUGACUCUAAAUCUCCCUUCGCUAUGCUCCACUGCCCCAAAUUUAGGAUGAGAAAUGAAAGGGGUGGGGGGCACUGUAAUGAGGUGACCUUGUAAAUCAUUCCAGACCGACUUUGUCCCCACCCACACCUUGCUCAGAAGAAUCAUCUCUAACCUCCAGCCUCUGCUUCCAUCACUGCUGGGGACAGGAAGCUUAUCCUCUUCACACAGCACAAUUUUAGGCCAGUUCUAAUUAUUAAAUGGUUCUUCUUAAAAUUUCUUCUCUUAUAUUUUCAGCUUCCAGGCCUUGGUUCUGCUCCCUGGGGCCGCUUCUUGGUGAAAUAUUCUCCCUGCCAAUGAGCAGGUUUUGACUUUCACGGAGAGUCAGAAUGUGAGAUGGCUUUAGCUAUGCCAGGAUUUCUAGGUUAUUUUUAACCGAGGGGUUUGGGCUUGAAUCAGAUCUUUUUUGAAACUCAGUGUUUCCAUUGGUUCUGCAAGAGGCUCCCUGGCACAUACGGUAGCCUAAGUUUCUCAGUUUCUCGUUCUCUGCAGAAAAAAAUUGUCCAUUGUGCCAGUGUUAAGGUUCCUAGCUGGAUAUAUUGAGACCCAUAGUCUCUGGACCAAGUUUCCCUUUGAAAGUGGUACAUGCACGGAGGGCCCAUGGUGUUUUGUCAUAAUCAUGCCUUUUUUCUUGCUAAGUGACAUUGAGGUAUGAUUUUGUGCUCGAGAAAGCACCGGGGCAUCCCAUACCUUCCUGUACCACGUGUGCUCUGAGCUUGGUUUCCUGUGUUAGUUCCUGUGUGUUUCUAGUGUGUUUGAGUUUGCUCUGUUAGGGGGCAGGGUGUUGGCAGCUGAGGCACACUUCAAAACAAGUGUGGAGCUGAGCCGGGAGAGAAGAAGUGGCGUGAACAUCCCCAGGGACGAAUACCCAGGAGGAACUGAACGAUGCUUGUGCUGAACUGCAGACAGAACUCAAGCAUGCCAUUAAAAUGCUUCCCCUCCCCCAAGAGUGAUGCCCACCGCCUCCAGAUAAAAGCUGGGAGGUACACAUUCAUUUGCAAGCAUCAAUUGAAUUUAUGUUAAAAUUUAAAAGUCUGGCAUAUGAAAUGAUAUGAGAAGAAAGGUGCUUUAUGGUUUCCAAAAAAUGUGAUAUUUACUUCUGUGAAAAUGCUCAGGGUCCAGGUGGUUUGACAUUUCUUUAUUGUUCCUUUCAGUCUAUGCCCAGGCUGGCCCACAGGGGCCCUGGUGGAGCCCUUUCCCUCCCCCUCACUUCCUCUUCUUGUUUUCUGCUCUUGUCUCUCUUUUCUAAGCUGCUGAACCUCGAAUGUUUUGAGAAGUCCCAUUUUAUUCCACAUUCCCUGUUAUUUACUCUGUAGCACCCACAGGCAAAUGAAUUUCUCUUGCUGAUAUUGAUCUCUUCUUAUAGCAUCAUGGAGAUACAUUGUUAUUCUGGAAACAUUGUCCCUGAAGUUUCCAAGGCUGAAGGUGGGGAGAGACAGAGUGUCUCCUCCUGCCACACACACCUAUAUUACUCCAGAAUAAAGGAUAGGAGAGCAAGAUAGAAGGGAUGAAGAACAGGCCAAAAUGAGGAAGUUCAGAGAAGAUAUGAUUCCUAAGAGAAGACCUCAAAGUCCGCUUAGAAACCAGAGCUUGCACCAGCCUGGGCAACAGAGCAAGACGACUUAUCUACAAAAAAUAAAAUGAAAUAGUUGUGCACAGUGCUGUGUGUCUGUAGUCCUAGCUACUUGGGAGGCUGAGGUGGGAGGAUUGCUUGAGCCCAAGAGUUUGAGGCUACAGUGAGCUCUGAUCAUGCCACUGCACUCUAGCUUUGGUGACAAGAGAGACCCUGCAUCUUAAAAAAAAAAUGUAACCAGAGCUUGUGGAUCAGAGACUGGAUCAUAGAGGGACAGAAUAUAAUACCCUCUGUGUCUGUCCCAGGCUGGGACCAUGCCUUCCACAGGCUUCGGCUAGAGAACUUCUGAAGAACUACAUUAGACCUGGCUCCAUAUAGGGGUUCUGGUCAUGGAUGACACUAAUCCUUCAAUUCUUUCAACUUGACCAAGUCCAUUUUUCUUGGCUUUGUUUUUUUGUUUUUUGUUUGUUUGUUUGUUUGUUUGUUUUUGAGACAGAGUCUCACUCUGUCACCAGGCUGGAGUGCAGUGGCACGAUCUCAGCUCUCUGUAGCCUCUGCCUCCUUGGUUCAAGGGAUUCUCCCGCCUUAGCCUCCCGACUAGCUGGGACUACAGGAGCGCACCACCGCGCCUGGCUAAUUUUUGUAUUUUUAGUAGAGAUGGGGUUUUACCGUGUUGGCCAGGAUGGUCUCCAUCUCCUGACCUUGUGAUCCACCUGCCUCGUCCUCCCGAAGUGCUGGAAUUACAGGCGUGAGCCACGGCGCCCAGCCCUCUUGGUUCCUUUUGAAAGCCCUGUAACAAGUUCUCUGAAGUCACUCUUCUCAUACCUUUAGAGUCUUUGCUUUUUACUUCAUAUAAAAGGCAGGGGUUUGGGCACUGGAUCCUUCACUUAUGUCCACAUUUACCCCAGUAAAUUUCCAUUUCCUACAACUGCCUUCUCUUUUUGCAGGGAUCACAGAAAUUGCUUACAUUUUCUAAACCCAGCCUUUCCAUCUGAGCCCUUAGGACAAACCUAUUUUCAACUUCAAGUUGCUCAUCUCUCUUUCUACAAGGUUUCUCCUUUCUUCUCCCCAUGUUGCUUCAACAAGUGAACGUCCUUCCACCUUAGUCGGGAGAGCGGGGCAAGAGGAGUUCUGAUCUGUAUACUGUUGUCUUGACUGUAUUACAUUCUGUCUUUUCCUUCAAACUUCUUCUGUUUAACUUGCUGCAAUUCACACUUACUGCAUUAUAGAAGUCCCCUUGCCACUUUCUUUUAAGUAGUUUAGACUCCACUUAUAUUUGGUCAAUAAUGUUUUAAUUAGAAAAUAUAAAAAUCGGCCGGGCGCGGUGGCUCACACCUGUAAUCCCAGCACUUUGGGAGGCCGAGGCGGGUGGAUCAUGAGGUCAGGAGAUCGAGAC
rnacentral:lncRNA from 1 species